rnacentral:rRNA from 1 species
CAGUCGAACGGAAGUCGUUGUAAUGAAUUUGAAGUGGACAGAGAACUUGUUCAAAGAAAGCAGAUGAUGAUUUACAACAAUGGCUUUAGUGGCGGACUGGUGAGUAACGCGUAAGCAAUCUGCCUAUUAGAGGGGAAUAACAAUGAGAAAUCAUUGCUAAUACCGCAUAUGCCAUAAGAAUCACAUGAUUCCAGUGGGAAAGGAGUAAUCCGCUAAUAGAUGAGCUUGCGUCUGAUUAGUUAGUUGGUGGGGUAACGGCCUACCAAGACGACGAUCAGUAGCCGGACUGAGAGGUUGAACGGCCACAUUGGGACUGAGAUACGGCCCAGACUCCUACGGGAGGCAGCAGUCGGGAAUAUUGCGCAAUGGAGGAAACUCUGACGCAGUGACGCCGCGUAUAGGAAGAAGGUUUUCGGAUUGUAAACUAUUGUCGUUAGGGAAGAUACAAGACAGUACCUAAGGAGGAAGCUCCGGCUAACUACGUGCCAGCAGCCGCGGUAAUACGUAGGGAGCAAGCGUUAUCCGGAUUUAUUGGGUGUAAAGGGUGCGUAGACGGACUUACAAGUUAGUUGUGAAAUCCCUCGGCUUAACUGAGGAACUGCAACUAAAACUGUAAGCCUUGAGUGCAGGAGAGGUAAGUGGAAUUCCUAGUAUAGCGGUGAAAUGCGUAGAUAUUAGGAGGAACACCAGUGGCGAAGGCGACUUACUGGACUGCAACUGACGUUGAGGCGCGAAAGUGUGGGGAGCAAACAGGAUUAGAUACCCUGGUAGUCCCACCCCGUAAACGAUGGAUACUAGGUGUAGGAAAUAUUAAGUUUUCUGUGCCGUCGCAACG